rnacentral:lncRNA from 1 species
GCCCUCACCGCCCACCGCCGCUCCCCGCGACGCCUCCUCCUCCUCCUCUUCCUCCUCCUCCUCCUCCGCACAGCCUGACCUUUGCAAAUGCCCAUGCGUUUCCUCGGGGCUGUCGGAGUGGCAGCCCUUAAAAGCAGUAAUUUGUUCUUACCUGCAUAACCACGCUUUGCAUUUCCAUGGCCUCUUUAACCCCAAGAUGUAGCUGCAAAUUAAAUCAGGAUGGGAAAGUCGUGAAUUAUGUCCAGGUAGCCCCAUUGUGCAGCUGAGUUAUGAGAAAUACCAGGAGAUGAGGGCUAUUACCCUCAGCGACACGGGAGGUCAAGGAGGGAAUCCAAAUGCUCUGGCUCGUACCUUGUCUCCGGUGGCACGGAGAGCCUGAAGGAACUGGUUGGACUGGGAGGGACUGGGACGAGGGAUUCAGGAGGAAAGCAGAGAUGGAUAUCCCCCUCUUCUGAUCACAGCAGAGGGGGAAGAAGCAAUGUCACGGCGGGUGAUGGCACGCACUGGGGCUGCACGAUGAGCCACCCAGCCUGGGGGCAGCUGCUGGGCUCCUGGGACCGAAACGCAAAGGGAAUCAGUGGGCACCGGGCGAGCUGCCUUCGCUCCCGAUUUUCCUGCAAAAGGAAGGAGGAGAAAAGGAAAGAAAUAUCUCCUCGGGUGUCCCACCCCGUCCCGUCUCAGACCUCCGUUGACUCCCAGCAAAUUUGGUAUUGACUUGAGCACAGCCUUGGCACCGACCGCUGCGCUGCCUACAAAUGCCCUUCCAAAAAUAACUGCGAAGUGCAGGGGGGAGCCUGUCCCUGCUCUUGGCACCUCCAGACCAGCUCCUCCUCUUGCCGCAGCAAAGCAUUUCUCAGCCGGUGGGAGCCCUGCCCCGAAAUCUGACUUGGAUGCAGGUGGGAGUCCUGGCCACGUGCUGGCCACGUGCACGCCCCAUCGCCUAACUGCCUCAGUUUCCCCCCAGCUUGACAGCGAGGCCAUCUCAUCCCAAAGGAUUUGCACUGGGGGUCAGAGGAGGAAACGCCAGAGCCCCGUUCCCAGCCUCGGAGGGACAGACAGACGGCUCAGCAGCGCUGCGCCCGGGAGGAAGAAUGAAGACCUUGUCUGUCUCCUUGCUCCCACAGAGCCGCCGAUGGAGCAUCAGAGCACUCGAUGGCCGCGGGAGCACCGGGCUGGUCAUUUCUCGGGGACCUGCCGAGGGCACCUCUGUGUCCGCACCCCUGGGGAUCGCCCAC